GCCCGAGUGGCGGAAUGGCAGACGCAGUGGAUUCAAAAUCCACCGAUGGCAACAUCAUGCGAGUUCGACUCUCGCCUUGGGCA
rnacentral:tRNA from 1 species